UACGUAGGGGGCCAGCGUUGUCCGGAUUUAUUGGGCGUAAAGAGCGUGUAGGCGGCUAGGUAGGUCCGUUGUGAAAACUCGAGCUCAACCUCGAGACGCCGGUGGAAACCAUCUAGCUAGAGUCCGGAAGAGGAGAGUGGAAUUCCUGGUGUAGCGGUGAAAUGCGCAGAUAUCAGGAAGAACACCCGUGGCGAAGGCGGCUCUCUGGGACGUGACUGACGCUGAGACGCGAAAGCGUGGGGAGCGAACAGG
rnacentral:rRNA from 1 species